rnacentral:rRNA from 1 species
UACGGGGGGGGCAAGCGUUGUUCGGAAUUACUGGGCGUAAAGGGCUCGUAGGUGGCCAACUAAGUCGGACGUGAAAUCCCUCGGCUUAACCGGGGAACUGCCUUCGAUACUGAAGAGCUCGAGUCCGGGAGAGGUGAGUGGAACUGCGAGUGUAGAGGUGAAAUUCGUAGAUAUUCGCAAGAACACCAGUGGCGAAGGCGGCUCACUGGCCCGGUACUGACGCUGAGGUGCGAAAGCGUGGGGAGCAAACAGG